UUGAGGAUGGUGGUUCGGUGCCCGGGCCUUCUCAGACGUCCAGGAACACAGAGGGGUUAGGUGUUCUCCGCAGGUCCCUGCUCAGGAGCCGGUGGUCUUGGGGACCGUUCAUGACAACUCCUGCCCCCUCCCGCCUAGAUGUCAUCUGCGGUGCUGGAAGACUCCAAGGAAUUCGGUAGCCCCUUGACCUUUGCGAGGGGGACAUACACUAUCUGUCCCUUUAAGGUGGCAUCCCAGUCCCUCUCAGAUACCAGAUGGAGCUGUCCCCAGCCAAGGUGUGACCUCGGAGCAGCAUUCAAACUUAGGAGCUUUGGAGUGGCUCCGGGUACAUUUCCCAGGAGAGGUCGGGUCGGGGUGAAGAGACAGACGAAGGUGAACCGGAGGCCGGGACAAUUUGCUACAUGGUCCUGCUGGAAAACCUCUGGUCAGAUUUUGUAAAACUGUGCGCCCCAGAGGGUUAAUGAGGUUAAAAAGUCACUGCCGCCCAGUGACUCCCCUUCUUCACCAGAGUGCUCACUCUAUCGUUUAGGGGCAAACAGCAGGCAGAGCUCUGGCCGGCCUAGACCAGUUUGAGCGCCACACUGCUGCACGCAUGCGCGGCCGGACCCUCUCGUGUCUGCUUCAUUGUAACGUUGAACUCCUCGCCCGAGGAGCGCACGCUUCAUCAGCAUCACAUGCAACACGUGUGUAGGCAUAUGUUUUAAGUACUCCGACACAGCCCUAUGCCCCCGCCUCUGCUUUCGAGGCCGAAACUCCCCUUUCAGGAUAGUCAUCUGAAUACUCCCCCCCACUUCAGAGUGGGGCCAAUAGCUUUGGAAAUUAUUCCCCGCGAUCUCCUUAUUUGCGGCAAGUAAAGUUCCCUUCGGGCGACAGCUCCGCCUGGUAUAGUCUCUACCUGUAACUCGCCGAGGAGCAAACUCGCACGACCCCGUGUCACAGAAGCACAUGGGGAAUGGAACUGGGGGGUUCACUUGGGUCCUUGGCCUCUGAGACUUGCAGAGACAAGGUUGAGUUGGGGGCCAAGCCCCCCCCCCCUUCUCUCUCAAAUUAGCCAACCUUGGCAUUUCCUAGGGAGAAAGGACCAUCAUUCCCAUAGCACGAUUGUCCUUACUUCCUUUAAAAACACUGGAGCAGUAAAGCAACGGCUGAGCUGGAUUUAUUCCAGGAAUGCAAGGUUGGUUUUAUGUUCAAGAAAGUCUAUCAAAGUAGUUAAUUAUAUUGACUGAAUGAAAAGGAAAAGUCACGGGAUCUUCAUAAAUGUUUUUACAAACGCGUGGAUAGAGUUCA